UACGUAGGGUGCAAGCGUUAAUCGGAAUUACUGGGCGUAAAGCGUGCGCAGGCGGUUAUGCAAGACAGAUGUGAAAUCCCCGGGCUUAACCUGGGAACUGCAUUUGUGACUGCAUGGCUGGAGUGCGGCAGAGGGGGAUGGAAUUCCGCGUGUAGCAGUGAAAUGCGUAGAUAUGCGGAGGACACCGAUGGCGAAGGCAUCCCCUGGGCCUGCACUGACGCUCAUGCACGAAAGCGUGGGGAGCAAACAGG
rnacentral:rRNA from 1 species